rnacentral:rRNA from 1 species
GGGUUGUGAGGUUAAGCGACUAAGCGUACACGGUGGAUGCCCUGGCAGUCAGAGGCGAUGAAGGACGUGCUAAUCUGCGAUAAGCGCCGGUAAGGUGAUAUGAACCGUUAUAACCGGCGAUUUCCGAAUGGGGAAACCCAGUGUGACUCGUCACACUAUCAUUAACUGAAUCCAUAGGUUAAUGAGGCGAACCGGGGGAACUGAAACAUCUAAGUACCCCGAGGAAAAGAAAUCAACCGAGAUUCCCCCAGUAGCGGCGAGCGAACGGGGAGGAGCCCAGAGCCUGAAUCAGCAUGUGUGUUAGUGGAAGCGUCUGGAA